GCCCCAUUAUCAGCAAUUAAACUCAUAGGAUACCCAGCUUCCUUAGAACAAAUCUGGGAUAUGCUUCAAGCCGUAAGGGAGCAGCUUAGAGAAGACCUCAGAGAAGAUUUAGCUGCACUGGAAAAUAAAACUGAUGCUUUGAAUGUUACAUUGAUAAAACAAGCAGCAGACCACAAAAACCUGGCUGAUCAUGUACAAGCUUUGGAAACACAAUUUAAAUCUG